AUACGUAGGGUGCAAGCGUUAAUCGGAAUUACUGGGCGUAAAGCGUGCGCAGGCGGUUCGGAAAGAAGGAUGUGAAAUCCCAGGGCUCAACCUUGGAACUGCAUUCUUAACUACCGAACUAGAGUAUGUCAGAGGGGGGUAGAAUUCCGCGUGUAGCAGUGAAAUGCGUAGAUAUGCGGAGGAAUACCGAUGGCGAAGGCAGCCCCCUGGGAUAAUACUGACGCUCAUGCACGAAAGCGUGGGUAGCAAACAGGAUUAGAUACCCUGGUAGUCCACGCCCUAAACGAUGUCAACUAGCUGUUGGGCCCUUCGGGGCUUAGUAGCGUAGCUAACGCGUGAAGUUGACCGCCUGGGGAGUACGGUCGCAAGAUUAAAACUCAAAGGAAUUGACGGGG
rnacentral:rRNA from 1 species